GAAAUAGAAUAAAUCUGAAAUAGAAUUAAAAUUAAACGAUUUUGACAUUUUCGAAUGUUAUACGAAAGAUAGUUUAAAAAGUAUACUAUCAACGAUAAUAAUUUAUACUGAUAUGGAAUAGCGUAGAGUUAUUUACUGAUUGUGUUCUUUAUGUUGAAAAACAUGGCGCCGCUCUACUCGAUGCUAUUUCUUCUGUUGGAUUAGGAUCAACAAUUGUGGAAACACAUUACUAAUUAUUCGUAUCGGCUGUAAAAAUGUACACAAAUCGGAACAUACGGAAGAGGUUAGCAGUUUGUGGGAAGCUGUUGCAUCUGCAUGUGAACGGUUUCUUUACUUCGAAAGAAUGGAAAUAGUGAAUAUUUUUACCAGAGGAACUUAUUCGUGGUUAUCCUCAAACGUCUAAAAACGAAUCGGCCCAAUAAACGCAAUCAUCAUCGGCUAGUGACAGGGAAUUUGUUGCUUCAGCUGCAGACGUUCAAUAUGAUCGAGUGACCCAAGUUGAUCGCGGAUUCAAGAUAACCCUGACGGUGGCGGCGGUCCGACCGAAGAAAUAUGAAUUUUAUGUUGGUUGUUGAGGUCAAUGUACAGUCUAUCGCAAUAUCUGCUGCCGGUAAAAACAUCCUCUGGAGCAGAAUCGCUCGCACCGAAUCAGGACCAGCCAAAACAUCUAAAGCAUCAACGACCACCACCGUCAAGGAAACCGACAACUCGCAGAAAAUGUGAUUCAAGAUUCUGGCCCUGGUCGAGUCGAGUGCGACCUUUCCAUUGUGGCUCAUGAUGUGGUUC